UAUGGCUACUGGACAGGGUCUACGCCAAGGUGCCCAUUCGCUGAAUCCUGCAACAGCAACCCCUGCCAGAACGGAGGCACGUGUGUGAACGGCCUGGAGCUGUACACGUGUAUGUGUCCACCUGGAUGGUCAGGGGUCAACUGUGAAGAAGACGUCCAGCCCCUGUAAUGAGUGGCUGUGGAAACAGGACAGAUCUCAAUACAGCUGACCACGAACUGACCCACGAGUGGACAGUGCCAACCUUCACAGACCCACUUUAUAACGAAGUCACUUCGACAUCCAACUACGUCA